GAUGAAGAACGCAGCGAAAUGCGAUAAGUAAUGUGAAUUGCAGAAUUCAGUGAAUCAUCGAAUCUUUGAACGUACAUUGCGCCCCCUGGUAUUCCGGGGGGCAUGCCUGUUCGAGCGUCAUUUCACCACUCAAGCCUCGCUUGGUAUUGGGCAACGCGGUCCGCCGCGUGCCUCAAAUCGACCGGCUGGGUCUUCUGUCCCCUAAGCGUUGUGGAAACUAUUCGCUAAAGGGUGUUCGGGAGGCUACGCCGUAAAACAACCCCAUUUCUAAGGUUGACCUCGGAUCAGGUAGGGAUACCCGCUGAACUUAAGCAUAUCAAUAAGCGGAGGA
rnacentral:misc_RNA from 1 species